GUCUAUGGCCAUCCCACCAUGAACGCGCCCGAUCUCGUCUGAUCUCGGAAGCUAAGCAGGGUCGGGCCUGGUUAGUACUUGGAUGGGAGAACCAAUCAACUAUCCCAGUGAAGUUGCAGGAU
rnacentral:rRNA from 1 species